rnacentral:lncRNA from 1 species
CUUUUUUUUUUUUUAACUUCUGAAAUUCAUUAGGAAUUGAAAAGAGGUACAGAGGUACAGAGGACUCAAAUAACCCAAACCACAGAGACACUCUAAAGAUCUGAAAAGACACACCUUGCCUAAAAACAGAGACAGUUGAACCCCCAACCCACACCACACCAGAGAACAGAGGACACAUUAGAGGAGACGACUUUCAUUGACAAAGAAUUCAAAAAGCCAAGAGGGAUGACCAGUAGCCACAUAAGAUUGCAUUCUUCCUUCCCUGGUAACACUUUGAGCAAUGAUUGCCGCUCCUCUAUUUUCCUCCUUCAACACGCUCAAUAGCUGGUAAUCCGCAAUCCCCUGCAGCAGCGUCUUUAGCUCCACCACCUGAUAACGCAAGGCAGGCCACUGGAGUGGGUUUUGCACCGCCAUGAAAAUUUCUUUAUAAUCCCCUGCAAAAACUACUUUGGUG